rnacentral:tRNA from 1 species
GCUCCUGUAGUGCAAUUGUUAGCGCGUUGGGCUUCUAAUCCAAAGGUCGUGGGUUCGAAUCCCACCUAGGAUGGCC